UACGAAGGAUUCGAGCGUUAUCCGGAUUUAUUGGGUUUAAAGGGUGCGUAGGUGGGUUUGUAAGUCAGUGGUGAAAUCUCCAAGCUUAACUUGGAAACUGCCGUUGAUACUAUAAAUCUUGAAUGUUGUGGAGGUGAGCGGAAUAUGUCAUGUAGCGGUGAAAUGCUUAGAUAUGACAUAGAACACCAAUUGCGAAGGCAGCUCACUACACAAAGAUUGACACUGAGGCACGAAAGCGUGGGGAUCAAACAGG
rnacentral:rRNA from 1 species